rnacentral:rRNA from 1 species
GGGGGGGGGGGGGGGGGGGCUGGGGGGGGGCGGGGCGGGGGGGGGGGCCCUGCUUUUGUGGGGUGCUCGAGUGGGGAACGGGUGGGUGGCGCGUGAGUGAGCUGCCCUUGACUUUGGGAUAACUUCAUGAAAGUGGGGCUGAUGCCGGAUAGGAGCUCCUUGUGCAUGGAGGGGGUUUGACAGUUUCGGCGUUUGGGGAUGGACUCGCGGAUUAUCAGCUUGUUUGUGGGGUAGUGGCUUACCAAGGCUUUGACGGGUAGCCGGCCUGAGAGGGUGACCUGCCACAUUGGGACUGAGAUACGGCCCCGACUCCUACGGGAGGCAGCAGUGGGGAAUAUUGCACAAUGGGCGGAAGCCUGAUGCAGCAACGCCGCGUGCGGGAUGACGGCCUUCGGGUUGUAAACCGCUUUCGCCUGUGACGAAGCGUGAGUGACGGUAAUGGGUAAAGAAGCACCGGCUAACUACGUG